ensembl:lncRNA
CACUUCCAUGAGCCCUUAGCUACAGUGUGUUUCAGGUAAAGUCAUUAAUAGUGUAUAAGGAUGACAAAACUUGUUUUACAUUAUCAUGAAAUUAUUUAAUUUUUAAACCUGGUAAAUUAAAAAAAAAUAGGUAUGUUUUUAAAAGGUUACCUAGAACCAUAGCCAUGGAAGUUUAUUCUCGCUCCAACCAACGUCUGUGCGUUUUUUUAAACUGCUGGAGACAGCUGAGUUUUAAGCCACUGUCAAUCAAAACGAACAACAAACAAACGAAGCCAACUUACCCAGCUGGACCAUGGUUUUCUUGCUUUUCCUCCGUUUCUCUGGCAGGAGAAAACAGCCUCCUAUGCAGAAAAUGAACAGAGCAGCUUUGUAGAAUCAAAUUAUGGGAAGACAGUCCUGCAGUUUGGAAAAUUAAGCAAUUUACAGUGUGAAAUAUAAAAUAACUUUCAUGAAAGAGCAUAGCACCUAUGUAUGUGUUAAUAAAAGGAGAAAGAUUGACUUUCUGUGUAACCACCAAACAACUCAAGAAAUGGAGCAUUACCAACACCUGAACCCCCAUCCCACCCCUCCUAUGUGUCCUUAUGGAAUUGCAAUCCUCUUCCUGCAACCAAAGGGCAAUCACCAUUGUAACUUCAUGGAAAUAGUCACAUGGAUGGACACCGCUGCAGACCGCCUGGGUGCUCCACUCCCACUGCAGUUGCUGUUCUUUGUGAAAAUCUUGGAGUCCCUGGAAAAUCUACGAGUUCAGAAUUAGGAUGGUGUUAAAGGAACUGACCUGGGAAAAGAAAGUAGAUCCACCAAGUUAGAGAUUUAUUUAGACAAGAAAACAUUAUAUUUUAAGGAAGCAGCUGGCUCUUGGACAGUUAGGGCAUCAUCUGUAUGUAUACAAAAAGGGAUAUAUUUUUCCUAAUUCAACAUGAGUUCAAAUCUGUUUCCACCACAUAGACGAUAUGUGAUAAUGAGUGAUUUUACUCACCUGAGAAUUCUUCUUCUUUUGUAAAGCCAGGAUGAUAAAAGUUUUUAAAAAAUUUAGACGUACUCACACGCUAUUUCACUCCCAUGCUUCUAAUAACAAUUUUGCUCAAGUUAUAGUAUAAAUACUACCACUGAAUUACAAAUGUGAAAAAUCAAUUUGACCAUAUUUUUAAACUUUAAAUAGGUGAUUUUACCAUUUGAAGUAUACAGAGCUGUUUUCGGCUUUGUUCUGACUAAUAUAUUGGAAGACUAUCUUUCUUACACCUUUUUGGAAAAACCAUAUAGGCUUAUUUUUGAAAAAGCGUUAUGGAAAAAAGUAUAUGUGGAAAAAUCUCACAAGUACCUGAAAAAAAAAUAUGCUUUUCUGAUGAUUAGAG